rnacentral:rRNA from 1 species
ACGGAGGAUCCAAGCGUUAUCCGGAUUUAUUGGGUUUAAAGGGUGCGUAGGCGGCUUAUUAAGUCAGGGGUGAAAGACGGUGGCUCAACCAUCGCAGUGCCUUUGAUACUGAUGAGCUUGAAUAUACUAGAGGUAGGCGGAAUGUGACAAGUAGCGGUGAAAUGCAUAGAUAUGUCACAGAACACCGAUUGCGAAGGCAGCUUACUAUGGUAUUAUUGACGCUGAGGCACGAAAGCGUGGGGAUCAAACAGGAUUAGAUACCCUGGUAGUCCACGCCCUAAACGAUGAAUACUCGCUGUUAGCGAUAUACAGUUAGCGGCUAAGCGAAAGCGUUAAGUAUUCCACCUGGGGAGUACGCUCGCAAGAGUG